UUUUUUUUGGGAGGAGAGGGGAGAGAGCUAAAAAUCCAGAAAAGCCAAAUGGCUGGAAAUUUACUGUUCUAUUAAAUUUGUCUGUGAUCUUGAAGUUUAGGAAUUACUGAAACAAGUUCUGGUUUAUUUAGUGUUGAGAUGGAUUGAAUUUUAGUUUUUUUAGCAUUGGUUGAAGGUCUGCUGGGUAUCUAUUCAUUCGAAAUUAUUUUCUGGGCUGGGUAAGUUCAUUCCUGAGUCUGAGUUGGAUUUCAUUGGUUAUACCUGAUUGUUGAGUCUUGCUGCUUGGCUACUGACCCUACCUUGCUUUCUUUCAUUCCAUAUUCUAGGUACAAAUUCUAAAUCCUUCAUGAUAAAAACUUCAAUUCAAAGACGGGAAUAAAGGCAGUGUUGAAAUUUGGCAAUAGUUCUACUUAUGCCCCAGAUCUACUUCUUUCAAUGAUGUUUAUACUUUUAGUCACUUUGAAUGAAGUUUGUAUUAAAAUCGAACAUGUUUAGUUAUGUCUUAGUAUGAAGUUCGAAUAAGAUCUUAAUUCUAUAGUCUAUCCUGCUUGAGUGGUUGUUGGGUAUUUGUGUUUACUCAGCAGAUUUCGAAAUUGCCUUUCAAGAUUGUUAACGGUUUUUUUCUCGUAAUAUAAGCUAACAGGAUUCUGUUUGAUUAGCUGAGUUUUCAUGUGGUAUUUAAACUAUGGACUAUUGGAACAUUGCAUUACAGAUUUUAAGUAAGUUAAAAAUGCAGUAAAGUUGCUUCAGGUUUGGUCAAAGUGAAUGAUCGCUGCUUUGAGUGUUAGUGUCAUGCUUGAACUGGGAUCAGAGUUGCUAAGAGUAAUCGUGAUCUUGCUAGAUGUAUUGUCAAAUGGCAUGUGAGUGAUUUUAGUUUAGAAAUGGUGCAGAAGUUGAAAUGCUUAUUCAGAUUGGCUUAAAUGUGAAUACUGAAGAAUGAGUGAUUGUCCAGUCUCAUAGGUUUCAAUUGUUGCAAACAUAAUGUUUUGUUGAUUAGCACAAGAAUGUGUUCGAAUUUGAAAAGAAUGGUUUUUGAACAAUUGUCAGUUACUUCCAAUCAAGGCUCCAAUGUCUAAUAAUCGUUAGUUAGUUUUGCGGUUCCUUAUUGUCUUGUUUUCAGAUAUGUUAGUAUGUAAAUCCCUGCAUCGUUUUCCUUUUCUGAACAAAUGGAGGAACAAAAAUCUGGGUGCUUUUCCGCAAUUGCACGGGCUCGAUACGUGGACCCUCUUGGCAUCCAACUUCGCGCGUGCUUCCAAGGGAGCUUCUUGUUUGGGCUCACAUGGAAUCCGAGGUCAAAGCUCACAACAUUGCAACCGAAGACUUUACUGGGCCACCGGGCCUCACGCUAGGCCAGGCCCAAGUUCCGAAACAAAAUAAAGUGGUUUUCACUUAGUCUUAGCCCCUUUUGAUUCACAAUUUAAAUUCAGCUGUGUUUGUAGGAAUAGUUUUAAUUCCCUUAAAUCUCAUUUAGUUAGUUUAAUUAGUGGAGGCGUG
rnacentral:lncRNA from 1 species